GUAAAGGGUGUGUGUGAUGCUAGUACUGUUAGAACCCUCAAAACCUCUCUUGUAAAAAUUUCUUUAAACAAGAAUCUCUUGAGAAGUUUUAUCAAGUUUCGAGAUAUCUUCAACAAUAUUAUGCUAUAUACAAUAUUCUGCUAUAUACAAAAUACCGGAGAGUUUGUUGCAUCCUUGGAUCCAAGUUGAGGCGGGUUGACUCAGAUGGUUGCGGGCGAUUUUUUUGAAUCUCUGAGUCGACUCAGGUCGAGUCGAACGAGUAUGAAAGAGUCAUCGUUGAUUCCUUACACAUCUCUGAUGAGUAACAAACCGGUCGCGGAACUUGGGAUGAAGGGUUCCUUUUAGUGGAAGAAGGAAAUCCAGCUUUUUGGAAGUUCCAUUUACCUUUCAAGAACUUUUUGCACAAGACCAAGCCUAAAUGGUUUCCCUCUACCAUGCAUCUUGAACAGAAUCUAUCAACAUAUACAGAAUAAGAGCCGAAGAGCUCUUUAACUCUGAAGUACUUUUUGGUUUUCGUCGGCCCUCGUGAGUUGCUCGUGAUUUUUAAAGGCCAUCAGAUUUAUGGAGUUGGACACGUGUUUCUUUCUUUCUUCUCCCCACUCUCCAUUUCUUCCUCCUCCUUCCUUUGUUUCCUUUCAACUCUAAACCGCAGCCGCAGCCGCAGCUAGGCAGAAUUCCAACAAAAAAUUCUCUCAUAUCCCUCCACGCCGCAACUCCAGCCCACUUAUACCCUCUCCUCUAAAAAGAAGUUGUCAAUCCCCUCUUCUCUCCUUCUCCGAUCAACUGCAAAGCUAAAGUUUCCUUGAUUCUCGCUUAAAUUUUAGAAAUUUUUUGGGCAAUUCUUCUCCAUUUCCCACAAAAAGAAAAACAUGAUUUCAAACAGAUAUCCAUGGCCAUGAUCAUAUUUGGCAUCAUGGGCUUGGUGACUAACUAUUUGGGGAUGGGACCUAAGGCAAGCACAAAACGAUGAAGUCAGCUGUUGCAGUUUAAACAAACAAUUCCUGGAAGUGGUGUUAGAUCCUGUGGAUAAAUUCUCAGAGAAUGAAGCAUCUGGUGUAAAUGGAGUUUGAAUUGUACAGUGGAUAGAUUGAAGAUUACAUCUGCAAGUUGGCAAAGAGAGGAACAACAACAUCUCAGAAUGGUGUACUAUUUUGUGUGACUCGAGUUGGGAAAUAAACAUCAAGGAUAAAUGUUUUCAAGAAGGGUGAAGUUCGUAUUUGUAUUAACAAUCUGAUUCGUGAGAAUUAGAUGCUUGUCUUGCGAAACAAAUGGAAAUUUGAGCUAUGCCUCUAUGCCUUUCUACACUUCACAGUCAAAUAUUUUGAUGACAUGGACGCUCUCUUUGACUAUGCUACCAAGCACUAAACUGGUUGCUUAUGCCUCAAGUCAGAUAGGCGUUUUGGAACCCUUAAGUUGCUCUGGUGGAAUAUGAGGCUAAGGCAAUUUCUUGGUAAAUUAUGUCUCCGAAGAAUGAUCUUGUGUAGAAUGUACAGUUCAAGAGAAUCCUUGCAGGAUAGUUCAGAUAUGGUAAAAAGGGUAUGUAAGAUUAUGAUGUCUUGCCCGAAACUUGGGCUUGAUACUGAGCUUGACCAAAAUGGGAUAAGGGUUUCCCCUGAAAUUGCUGAGGAAGUACUCAAGAGAUUUGAAAAUGCUGGAGUGCUGGCUUACCGUUUCUUUGACUGGGCAGGGAAGCAGCGUAAUUAUGAGCAUAGUGUUAAAGCAUACCACACCAUGAUUGAGGCUUUAGCUAAGAUAAGGCAGUAUCAGUUGAUGUGGGGUCUUGUGAAUGCAAUGAGAAGUAAGAAAAUGCUUAAUAUUGAGACAUUUUGUAUCAUUAUGAGGAAGUAUGCUAGGGCUAAGAAGGUGGAGGAGGUGGUGUACACCUUUAAUAUCAUGAAAAAAUAUGAUGUGCCUCCAAAUGUAGCAGCAUUCAAUGGCUUAUUGAGCGCUUUAUGCAAAUCAAAAAAUGUGAGAAAGGCUCAGGAAAUUUUUGAUAACAUGAAAGGUCAAUUUGUUCCUGACUCAAAGACUUAUAGCAUAUUGCUUGAGGGAUGGGGAAGAGCUCCCAAUCUGCCCAAGGCAAGGGAAAUUUACAGAGAAAUGGUGGAGGCAGGCUGUGAUCCUGACAUUGUGACUUAUGGGAUUAUGGUUGAUAUCCUGUGCAAAGCAGGUAGGGUUGAUGAAGCGGUUGAAAUAGUUAAGGAGAUGGAAUUCAGUGGUUGUAGGCCAACAUCAUUUAUAUACAGUGUUUUGGUUCAUACAUAUGGUAUAGACAAUCGGAUUGAAGAUGCUGUAGAUACCUUCCUUGAAAUGGAAAGUAGUGGAGUGGAGGUUGAUGUAGCUGUCUAUAACGCCUUAAUUAGUGCCUUCUGCAAAGUUAACAAGUUUCAGAAUGCUUACAGGGUUUUGGAUGAGAUGGAGGGCAAAAAGGUGACUCCCAAUUCAAGGACUUGCAACAUCAUCUUAAACAGUUUGAUUGGUUGUGGGGAGACUGAUGAAGCUCUUAAAGUUUUUCGUCGGAUGAUUAAAAUUUGUGAGCCAGAUGCAGACACUUAUACAGUGAUGAUAAAGAUGUUCUGCGAUAGGGAUGAGCUUGAGAGGGCUUUGAAGGUAUGGAAGUACAUGAAAAAGAAAAGGUUCGUUCCUAGCCUGCAUACCAUAUCAGCCCUUAUCAAUGGAUUAUGUGACAAGGCGGAUGCCUCUAGGGCUUGUGUCUUAAUGGAAGAGAUGAUAGAGAAUGGAAUUCGUCCAGGAAGAGUGACUUUUGGCAAGUUAAGAAAUCUGCUUCUGAAGGAAGGGAGAGAAGAUGUACUUGAAUUUCUUCAGGAAAAAAUGAACCUUUUGGUUAAGGAGCCUUUAUGUGAUUGAGAAUCAGGAGUUCUGUGGGACAGUUAAUUAAGAUGAAGAAUCAAGAACCCAGAUUCAUGCAGUUUGAAAAUUUACAAUGCCGAAGGUAGGAAAAGACACCUGUUACCUGUUUAAGCAAGUGCUGCAUUUAACCGCUAUGGCUAUGAGACUAGUUAAGAGUUGGUCUGGCAGGUUUCUGGUUCUUGCCUUCCAAAUGUUCCAGAAGUUGCAAUUUAGGCAUUUGCCAGAAACUGUAGUUCGCACCACGGUUUGGACCGAAAUUUGAGUUCCAUGAAGCAAAUACUGUAAGAUACUUGUAUAAAAACAGUUUUGAGAACCACUUUUAGCACUGCAUAUGGAAUGCAUUGGUUGGCAAAAAAAUGAAUACGUAGACAACCAUGCAGACUUUAAACUACAAAAUAGGGAUUAAAACUUCUUAAUUUAGAGAUCAUUUUGGAAAACGAAAUACCUAGUGGUAUUUUCUUAUUCCUAUUAAUAAAUGAAAAUUUUAUACCAUGGGUACAGUCUUUGAAUUCCUCUUCAGAUGAAUCGGAUAACAAUAAAAGAGUUCUAAGAUUGUAGAAUAUAAAGAAAUAUCUCGUUGGCACAAAAAGUGUGAUCAUUGGUACGAGCCAAAGGACUUUCCACUAGAAUUGAUACAUGGUUAUUGAUCACACUCUUUGUGCCAACGAGAUAUUCCUUUAUAUUCUACAAUCUUAGAACUCUUUUAUUGUUAUCUGAUUCAUCUGAAGAGGAAUUCAAAGACUGUACCCAUGGUAUUUUAAUGUCAUUGUUUA